rnacentral:rRNA from 1 species
GACGAACGCUGGCGGCGUGCCUAAUACAUGCAAGUCGAACGCAGUGGGGACGGGUGAGUAACACGUGGGUAACCUCCCAUCAGAGGGGAUAACACUUGGAAACAGGUGCUAAACCGCCACUGAUGGAUGGACCCGCGGUGCAUUAGCUAGUUGGGGGGGUAACGGCUCACCAAGGCCACGAGGCAUAGCCGACCGGAGAGGGGUAUCGUCCACACUGGGACUGAGACACGGCCAGGACUCCUACGGGAGGCAGAAGGAGGGAAUCUUCGGCAAUGGAGGAAAGCUUGACCGAGAAAGGCCGCGGGAGGGAAGAAGGUUUUCGGAUCGUAAAACUCUGUUGUUAGGGAAGCGGUAUCUAACCAGAAAGCCACGGCUAACUACGUGCCAGCAGCCGCGGAAAUAC